GGGGCAAGCGUUGCUCCGCUACCCAUCCACUGUUCGUUAACGGUGGACAAAACGAAAAUGUUACAUAUGGCAGAAAUAAGCACAAGCAAAUUCAAAAGCCUGCGCAUAUAUAUUUAUUAGGCAGUGCAAAGCAAACCUUCAUCCAAGUACAUACACAUAAAUCUCUAUCUUUUUUAAAAUCCUUAUUUUACCAUCGCGCAAAAGGCCUGCCAAGGAAGCUUAUCUACAAUUUCUUUCAUACCAAACAAUAUGAAAGAAAGCUUCACACAAGGUGCAAGCUCCUUUUUAUCUAUCCAUAUGUACAAUCCUACGUUUCAUUUAUCUUCAUUUAAAACACCAGCACCUUCAUUCCUUCAAACACAACCUAUUUGCAGCAUGUUCCAUAUCCUUCUCCCCCCUGCCCCCACGUCAACUACUACUCAGGCCGGUAGCUCACCAGUUGAGAGAGGUAAGUUGACUGAAGCUUCUUAAUGUCAUUAGCUGUCACCUUGCAUGACUCCAAGGUCAAUGAUCUUAAAUUUUUCAGUGGCUUCAAAUGCUGCAACCCUGCACUGGUCACACGGGAAUUUGAGACGUUCAACGAGACCAAUCCUGUCAACCCAGAAAUCAAUUCCAAUGAUUUAUUUGUUAGAUUGCAGUUUUGUGACAAAUUUAGCAGCAACAGGGAUGAAAGAUCUUUAAUGUUCCUUACGCCAGCAUCAGUUAAUCCUCCACCACAUAUUUCCAAAGACUGAAGAUUUUUGAAAUUUCGCAAAUAGUUUGUUCCAGAAUCUGUAAUACGAGCUCCAAAAAGGUCCAGAUGGGUCAAUCCUGUCAAACUUGAUAGGGCUGCAAGUCCACUAUCAGUAAUUUGGCGGGCAUCAAGAUUAAGCGAUUUAAGAGAAGACAAUCCAGACAAUUUUCUUAUACCACCAUCUGUAAUCAUAGUGAAUGACAGAUUUAUACUCUCCAAAUUGGUCAAACCAGAUAGGUGGCGAAGCCCACUGCUUCCAACUUCAGUAUCUGACAACACUAAGCAUUUCAAACGAUGAAGGCCUGUUAUGUUAGCCAGACCCUCAUCAUCAAUUCUGCAAGAAUCCAAGUUCACGCUCUCCAAAUUUGUCAAGCCUUUCAGGUGCACCAAGCAUGCAUCCGUGAUGUCAUUGAAGCCCAAGUUUAGCGCCUUUAGUUUUCCGAGCUUCGAAAACCCCUCGCAUCCAUCAUCAGAAAUAUGGCAUCGGUUAAGAUUCAAAUACAACAAAGAAGUAAGAGCUGAGAUAGUCUCCAAGCAUGCAGCCGUGACUGGACACCCUUCCAAGUUUAAUAGAUUAAGCUUAUGCAGACCUUUCAAAUAAGAAAUACCCACAUCUGUAACCUUGCUGCAUGAAAUUUGUAAUCCUUUCAAGUUUGUCAACCCUGAAAGAUGCUUCAUAUCUGCAUCCUUUAUGCAGUUACACCAUUUGAUACUAAGAGACUCCAACUUUGUCAACCCUUUGAGAUGAACAAGUCCACCGCCAAUGCCAGGACACCUCUCCAAGUCCAAUUUCACCAAGUUAACUAAGCUAGCAAAGGCACUCAUGCCUUGUGCUGUAAUUGAAUUGUUUCUUCUAAAACUCAAACUUGUCAAGUUUGAGAGGCCACUAAUUUGAUUAAGCCCAAGGUCUGAAAUCUGGUCACAAUAAUUAAAAUUUAAGGCUUGAAGGUUUGUACAGCCUUUUAGAUGAAUCAAUCCAGAAUCAGUGACAUCUGAACCAGAAAGAUCCACAGAAAGUAAAGAUAUUCCUUGUGAAGAGAUUACAUCCAUCCAACUAUCAUUAACCCCAGGGCAUUCUCCCAAGUGAAGAUCCUGGAGAGCACAAUCUCGGAAAGCUUUAAGAGAAAUAUCAGUCAAACGUUGAGAAUACACUAAUUCAUUGAAGAUCUGCUGACUAAUGUCCCUUGGAAGCAUAGAAAAUGUACUAUAUUUAUCUAUGUCCUCACGUAUGUUUUGGAUGCACAAUUCCAUGAGGGAUGGACAUCUCUGAUUUCCCCGCUGCGGUUCACAAGCAGGCCUAGAAAAUGAAGUUGCUAACCACUUUGAGCUCGCACUUUUGCUAUAUCUUCUAGAAAUCCCAUUAUGAAAAUUAUCUACAUUGUCCAAUUGAUCUCUCUUCCUAGAACAAGCUCCCCCCAUUGAGGAAAUAUCCUUUAAUCAACUAUAUGUCAUAAAAACUGCAGCAGCACACUACCCUAACCAUCCAAUUACAAUUAUGCACUCUACUUCACCCUCAUGAUCGAUUACUGGAACCGAUUCUAUUUUUCUACGGAAUUCUCUGAUCACCGAAAACUAAAACACAGAAGAGAAAAGAGAGAGCGGAGAGUGGAGGAAACAUUGCAGAAUAGUGAAGCCGGAGUAAAAGAAUAGAAAAGGGCAAGGUGGCUGUGACCGAACCAGAGUCCCAGACCAUUCGAUGACAUACACGUGGAAUAGAGUCAGCGAGAAAGGAAAAAGGC
rnacentral:misc_RNA from 1 species